rnacentral:rRNA from 1 species
AUUGAACGCUGGCGGCAGGCCUAACACAUGCAAGUCGAGCGGAUGAAGGGGGCUUUCUCCUGUCUGCCGCUGCGGACGGGUGGGUGAUUCCUAGGAAGCUGCCUUAUAUAUGAGGAUAGCGUCCGUACAGGGGCCCGAAUACCGUAUCCGUCCUUAUAUUGAAAGUGGGGGAUCUUCGGACCUAAAGCGUUUAGAUGACCCUAGGACGGAUUAGCUAGUUGGUUGGGUAAAGGCGUACCAAGGCGACUAUCCGUAACUGGGCUGAGAGGCUGAUCUGUCACACUGGAACUGAGACACGGUCCAGACUCCUACGGGAGGCAGCAGUGGGGAAUCUUCGACAAUGGGCGAAAGCCUGAUCCAGCAACGCCGCGUGAGUGAAGAAGGUCUUCGGAUUGUAAAGCACUUUUAGUAGGGAGGAACGGAAGUAUAUUAAACUCUUGCUGUCUUGACGUUACCAAAAGAAUAAGCCCCGGCUAACUACGUG